AUCGCUCCUUGGCCUUUUGGCUAAGAUCAAGUGUAGUGUCUGUUCUUAUCAGUUUAAUAUAUAUAAAUUAUAGUAAGUAGCCCACAGAAAUUAUUUAAUAAUUAUAUUACUAUUAUGAUUAUUAUAUAACUGAAUGUUCUGGUAGCUGUGACUGUUUUCAGGUACUCUCC
rnacentral:snRNA from 1 species